AUAAAGUUUGAUUCUGGCUUUAAAAAUUAAUUGUAUAAAUAAAUUAUAUGUUUUUGUUUAAAUUAAUUUAAAUUCAGUAAUUAGUAUUAUAUUUUUAUUAAAAUAAUAAUUAGAAAUUUAGUUAUAGUUGAUAUAUUUUGUGCCAGAAAUCUCGGUUAAACAAAAGAUUAAAUUUAAUUUUUUUAGUUUUUACAUAUAUUAUAUAAAUAAAUUUUUCAUACAAUAAUUAAGUGAAAUUUUUAUUUUAGUUUAAAUUUAUAAUUAUGUUGUAAUAAAUUUUUUGUAUAAACUAGGAUUAGAUACCCUAUUAUUUUAAAACUUGUAUUAAAACUAGAAUACUAAUAGCUAUGUUCUUUAACCUCAAAGAAUUUGGCGGUAAAUAAUUUAAUUAGAGGAAUCUGCUGCUUAAUUGAUAAACCACGAUAGUUUAUACCUUUAUUUAAUUUGUAUAUCUCUAUGUUAGGAUAUUUUUGUAGAACAAUUUUCUUUAAUUUUUAUUAAAAAAUGUUAGGUCAAGGUGCAGUUUUGUUCAGGUAGUUGUGGAUUACAUUAAAAUUUUAUAUAUUAACUUUUUAUAGUUUAACUUAAUUAAUUUUAGGAUUUAAUAGUAAUUUUAAUUAAUUAAUUAAUUUGAACUUAAUUUUAUUUAUGUACAUAUCGCCCGUCACUCCUUAGUCAACUAAGGAUAAGUCGUAACAAAGUAAUUUUACUGGAAGGUGAAAUUAAUCAUU
rnacentral:ncRNA from 1 species